rnacentral:rRNA from 1 species
GACGAACGCUGGCGGCGUGCCUAAUACAUGCAAGUCGAGCGAAGUUUUUCUGGUGCUUGCACCGGAAAAACUUAGCGGCGAACGGGUGAGUAACACGUAAAGAACCUGCCUCAUAGACUGGGACAACUAUUGGAAACGAUAGCUAAUACCGGAUAAUAGCAUUAACUGCAUGGUUGAUGUUUAAAAGUUGGUUUUGCUAACACUAUGAGAUGGCUUUGCGGUGCAUUAGCUGGUUGGUGGGGUAAAGGCCUACCAAGGCGACGAUGCAUAGCCGACCUGAGAGGGUGAUCGGCCACACUGGGACUGAGACACGGCCCAGACUCCUACGGGAGGCAGCAGUAGGGAAUCUUCCGCAAUGGGCGAAAGCCUGACGGAGCAACGCCGCGUGAGUGAAGAAGGAUUUCGGUUCGUAAAGCUCUGUUGUUAGGGAAGAAUGAUUGUGUAGUAACUAUACACAGUAGAGACGGUACCUAACCAGAAAGCCACGGCUAACUACGUG